AUUGAACGCUGGCGGCAGGCCUAACACAUGCAAGUCGAACGAGUGGCGGACGGGUGAGUAAUGUCUGGGAAACUGCCUGAUGGAGGGGGAUAACUACUGGAAACGGUAGCUAAUACCGCAUACCAUCAGAUGUGCCCAGAUGGGCUUAGCUAGUAGGUGGGGUAAUGGCUCACCUAGGCGACGAUCCCUCGCUGGUCUGAGAGGAUGACCAUCCACACUGGAACUGGGCCACGGUCCAAACUCCUCCGGAAGGCAGCAUUGGGGAAUAUUGCACAAUGGGCGCAAGCCUGAUGCCACCAUGCCGCGUGGGUGAAGAAGGCCUUCGGGUUGUAAAGCACUUUCAGCGAGGAGGCGUUACUCGAAGAAGAAGCACCGGCUAACUCCGUGCCAGCAGCCGCGGUAAUAC
rnacentral:rRNA from 1 species